AGCCUUAAGGUGAUAUUCAUGUCGAAUUGCAAAUUCGAAGGUGUAGAAAAAAUCUAUUCUACUAAGGCUU
rnacentral:tRNA from 1 species